rnacentral:rRNA from 1 species
AGUAACGGCGAGUGAAGCGGCAACAGCUCAAAUUUGAAAUCUGGCCCUCUCAGGGUCCGAGUUGUAAUUUGGAGAGGAUGCUUCGGGUGUGGCCCCGGUCUAAGUUCCUUGGAACAGGACGUCACAGAGGGUGAGAAUCCCGUACGUGCCCGGUGGCCGCCCCCGUGUGGAGCUCCUUCGACGAGUCGAGUUGUUUGGG